UCGACCCCGGAAGUGACUUCUGGAAGUGACCCAGGAAGUGACAUUUUAGCUUUGCGUUUAAUUGGUUCGACUCCCUUCUCCACAAUUUGGGCGAGAAUUUCUUUUGCCUUCUGAGCAAAAAUUGUUCUGCGGACCCGUCUGGUUCAACUUUCAUGAGGGGCAUUGAGACAAACAAAUGAAAUAUGGGUCAAAAUGCUCUUGAGUAGCUACAAAAAGAAGACCAGCCUAUCCUGCUGGAGAGAGUGGCCACGUGAAGAAAGAGCCCUUGGAGUGUGAAAGACCACAGGGAAAGAAAGGCCACAUGGAACCAACAGUCAGCACCUUGGCUUUGGACAUGUGAAGAAAUUCAUCUCAGACUGUGUAUCCUGAAUCAGGCACUUGCUGAAUGCAACUACAUGAGUGAGACCAGUUGACAACACACGGAGCAGAGCCACACAGCUGAACUACCGGACAUGUGAAUGAAGCUAGUUUGGAAGUUCCAGCCCUGGCUAAACACCCAGCUGAAUGCAGCCACCUGAGUGACCCCAGCC